UGAUACGAUCAUGGGGAAUCCGACUGUUUAAUUAAAACAAAGCAUUGCGAAACUUUUAACUAGAUUUUUACGUAAUGUGAUUUCUGCUCAGUGCUCUGAAUGUCAAAGUGAAGUAAUUCAACCAAGCGCGGGUAAACAGCGGGAGUAACUAUGACUCUCUUAAGGUAGCCAAAUGCCUCGUCAUCUAAUUAGUGACGCGCAUGAAUGGAUUAACGAGAUUCCCACUGUCCCUACUUGCUAUCUAGCGAACCAACAGCCAAGGGAACGGGCUUGGCAAUGUCAGCGGGGAAAGAAGACCCUAUUGAGCUUGACUCUAGUCUAAAAUUGUGAAAUAUUUUUAUGGGUGUAGAAUAGGUGGGAGUUUGUAAAAACAAUCUUGAAAUACCACUACCGUAAAUAAUAUUUUACUUAUCUAAUUAUUAUAUAAUAUUAUUUUUAAUAAAUAAUAUUUUUUGAUUUAAAUGAUAUAUUCUUAUCAUUUAAUA
rnacentral:rRNA from 1 species